CGGCGGACGGGUGAGUAACGCGUGGGUAACCUGCCUCAUACAGGGGGAUAACAGUUAGAAAUGACUGCUAAUACCGCAUAAGACCACAGUACCGCAUGGUACAGUGGGAAAAACUCCGGUGGUAUGAGAUGGACCCGCGUCUGAUUAGCUAGUUGGUAAGGUAACGGCUUACCAAGGCGACGAUCGGUAGCCGGACUGAGAGGUUGAACGGCCACAUUGGGACUGAGACACGGCCCAG
rnacentral:rRNA from 1 species